GCCUCCGUAGCUCAGCUGGAUAGAGCGUCCCCCUCCUAAGGGGAAGGUCAUGCGUUCGAAUCGCGUCGGGGGCACCA
rnacentral:tRNA from 1 species